UCCUACGGGAGGCAGCAGUGGGGAAUAUUGCACAAUGGGCGCAAGCCUGAUGCAGCCAUGCCGCGUGUGUGAAGAAGGCCUUCGGGUUGUAAAGCACUUUCAGUGGUGAGGAAAGGGUGAUAGUUAAUAACUAUCACAGUUGACGUUAGCCACAGAAGAAGCACCGGCUAACUCCGUGCCAGCAGCCGCGGUAAUACGGAGGGUGCAAGCGUUAAUCGGAAUUACUGGGCGUAAAGCGUACGUAGGCGGUGUGUUAAGCUAGAUGUGAAAGCCCCGGGCUCAACCUGGGAAUAGCAUUUAGAACUGGCACGCUAGAGUCCUGAAGAGGGUGGUAGAAUUUCCAGUGUA
rnacentral:rRNA from 1 species